rnacentral:rRNA from 1 species
GAACGCUGGCGGCGUGCUUAACACAUGCAAGUCGAACGAUGAAGCCCUUCGGGGUGGAUUAGUGGCGAACGGGUGAGUAACACGUGGGCAAUCUGCCCUUCACUCUGGGACAAGCCCUGGAAACGGGGUCUAAUACCGGAUAACACUCUGUCCCGCAUGGGACGGGGUUAAAAGCUCCGGCGGUGAAGGAUGAGCCCGCGGCCUAUCAGCUUGUUGGUGGGGUAAUGGCCUACCAAGGCGACGACGGGUAGCCGGCCUGAGAGGGCGACCGGCCACACUGGGACUGAGACACGGCCCAGACUCCUACGGGAGGCAGCAGUGGGGAAUAUUGCACAAUGGGCGAAAGCCUGAUGCAGCGACGCCGCGUGAGGGAUGACGGCCUUCGGGUUGUAAACCUCUUUCAGCAGGGAAGAAGCGAAAGUGACGGUACCUGCAGAAGAAGCGCCGGCUAACUACGUGCCAGCAGCCGCGGUAAUACGUAGGGCGCAAGCGUUGUCCGGAAUUAUUGGGCGUAAAGAGCUCGUAGGCGGCUUGUCACGUCGGAUGUGAAAGCCCGGGGCUUAACCCCGGGUCUGCAUUCGAUACGGGCUAGCUAGAGUG